UGGGGAAUCUUGCACAAUGGGCGAAAGCCUGAUGCAGCGACGCCGCGUGAGGGAUGACGGCCUUCGGGUUGUAAACCUCUUUCAGCAGGGAAGAAGCGAAAGUGACGGUACCUGCAGAAGAAGCACCGGCUAACUACGUGCCAGCAGCCGCGGUAAUACGUAGGGUGCGAGCGUUGUCCGGAAUUAUUGGGCGUAAAGAGCUUGUAGGCGGUUUGUCGCGUCUGCCGUGAAAAUUCGAGGCUCAACCUCGAACUUGCGGUGGGUACGGGCAGACUAGAGUGUGGUAGGGGAGACUGGAAUUCCUGGUGUAGCGGUGAAAUGCGCAGAUAUCAGGAGGAACACCGAUGGCGAAGGCAGGUCUCUGGGCCACUACUGACGCUGAGAAGCGAAAGCAUGGGGAGCGAACA
rnacentral:rRNA from 1 species